UACGUAGGGUGCGAGCGUUGUCCGGAAUUAUUGGGCGUAAAGAGCUCGUAGGCGGCUUGUCGCGUCGGAUGUGAAAGCCCGGGGCUUAACCCCGGGUCUGCAUUCGAUACGGGCAGGCUAGAGUUCGGUAGGGGAGAUCGGAAUUCCUGGUGUAGCGGUGAAAUGCGCAGAUAUCAGGAGGAACACAGGUGGCGAAGGCGGAUCUCUGGGCCGAUACUGACGCUGAGGAGCGAAAGCGUGGGGAGCGAACAGG
rnacentral:rRNA from 1 species